rnacentral:rRNA from 1 species
UGGGGAAUUUUGGACAAUGGGCGAAAGCCUGAUCCAGCAAUGCCGCGUGUGUGAAGAAGGCCUUCGGGUUGUAAAGCACUUUUGUCCGGAAAGAAAUCCUUGGCUCUAAUACAGUCGGGGGAUGACGGUACCGGAAGAAUAAGCACCGGCUAACUACGUGCCAGCAGCCGCGGUAAUACGUAGGGUGCAAGCGUUAAUCGGAAUUACUGGGCGUAAAGCGUGCGCAGGCGGUUUGCUAAGACCGAUGUGAAAUCCCCGGGCUAACCUGGGAACUGCAUUGGUGACUGGCAGGCUAGAGUAUGGCAGAGGGGGGUAGAAUUCCACGUGUAGCAGUGAAAUGCGUAGAGAUGUGGAGGAAUACCGAUGGCGAAGGCAGCCCCCUGGGCCAAUACUGACGCUCAUGCACGAAAGCGUGGGGAGCAAACAGGAUUAGAUACCCUGGUAGUCCACGCCCUAAAACGAUGUCAACUAGUUGUUGGGGAUUCAUUUCCUUAGUAACGUAGCUAACGCGUGAAGUUGACCGCCUGGGGAGUACGGUCGCAAGAUUAAAACUCAAAUGAAUUGACGGGGUCAUAGCUGUUUCCU